CUUACCGACGAGAACAAAAGAAGAAAAAGGAAAAGGAUUGUAUUGACAGUAAUGUAUGAUGAGUCAGUUUGUCUUGCACUAGCUUAUCUUAGUACGCAAAGGGCACCAAAGAGUUUAGGAUGCUUUAGUGACGAGGAGCAUCGAUAUGGUCUUAGGAAGUAUUUUCUCAAAGAAAUGUACUAUGGUUUAGAAGUAACUUGCUGUGAUGAGUUGCGAUUAACUAAAAGAAACUUCCAUGAUUUAUGUGCUAUGUUGCGUGAGAAGUGUGGCUUGGUUGGCAGCAUAUAUGUGACUGUAGAAGAAAAGGUUGCAAUGUUUUUAUUGGUGCUUGGACAUGGUCUUAAGAUGAGGUUGCUCUGCGGCACUUACAAGCGUUCUUUAGAGACAAUUAGUAGGCACUUCUCGAGUGUGUUAAUAGCCAUUCUUUCCCUAAGUGGGGAGUUUAUAAAGCUUCCGGAUCCUUCUAUUGAACCUCUAGAUGAUUACAAAUGGAAAGUGGUUUAG
rnacentral:rRNA from 1 species